GAGGAAGGCGGGGAUGACGUCAAAUCAUCAUGCCCUUUAUGUCCUGGGCUACACACGUGCUACAAUGGGCGGAACAACGGGAAGCGAGACCGCGAGGUGGAGCGAAACCCUGAAAACCGUUCGUAGUUCGGAUUGCAGGCUGCAACUCGCCUGCAUGAAGCCGGAAUUGCUAGUAAUCGCGGAUCAGCAUGCCGCGGUGAAUCCGUUCCCGGGCCUUGUACACACCGCCCGUCACACCACGAGAGUCGGCAACACCCGAAGUCGGUGGGGUAACCCGUAAGGGGGCCAGCCGCCGAAGGUGGGGUUGAUGAUUGGGGUGAAGUCGUAACAAGGUAGCCGUAA
rnacentral:rRNA from 1 species